UACGGAGGGUGCGAGCGUUGUCCGGAAUCAUUGGGCGUAAAGGGCGCGUAGGUGGCGCGGUAAGCGUGCGGUGAAAGCCUGGGGCUCAACCCCGGGUCGGCCGUGCGAACUGCUGGGCUUGAGCACUGUAGAGGCAGGCGGAAUUCCGGGUGUAGCGGUGGAAUGCGUAGAGAUCCGGAAGAACACCGGUGGCGAAGGCGGCCUGCUGGGCAGUAGCUGACACUGAGGCGCGACAGCGUGGGGAGCAAACAGG
rnacentral:rRNA from 1 species